CGCGGGUCUUAUCCUAGUCAUAUAUAUAAUGAGACUCUUUUCUCUCUUUUGAGAGUGUCCACGUAGACAGUUCAUGGGUCCCACCAAAAUCAUCUUUAUUCAAAACCGAAGCGGAGACUCCGAUCGUCGUCCACCACGAUCAAAGCUAUUAUGUCAUUCAAAGAGAUUUGGAUUCUUCAUCUCCCCCUUGACUCCACCUAUAUAAACUCUCCCGAAUCCAAAUCUUCUCUGAUAGCUUCCAUGGAUAAGAAACAGUCAGAUUUCCAGAUCCAACGCUUUGGAUAAAGCUCCGGCAAUAUCGAGCAGCGCAUCCAUGGCUAAGAAUCCAGCGAAAUCACAACAAAAUCUCCAACUGAAUCGAGCACCGGUUCCAUGGAUAAGAAAAAAGGGGGUUGCUUGGCUCCAUCUACAUCCCUGAUGAGAAGAAUUCGGUGAUCAUGGAUUUAUUCCUGCUGCUCGCGCCACUCACUACCGUCCAUCUUUACGAGACGGUUCCAUAAAGAGUGUUUGAGAAUCGUUGCAGUAUGCGAAGCAUUUAGCCGGUACAAGAAUCCAGAUGCUGUUCGACAAGUUCGAGAGUAUCCUUUUUCUCAUUUAGUUGUUUCAUAGUGUUUAAUCCAUGGUAGAGUUUUGACAUGUUUGCAUCUUUAUUAGUUUCAGGUAAAUCGAGUGGAGAUUUGAUUUGUGUUUAGUUUGGUUUACUGCACUAGCUCCUGUUGUAUUAAAUCUGCCUUUAACUAACUUAAACAUUUAUAGACUGCCGAAUUCCUAUGUACUGGGGAUGUUGCCAGUAUUGAAACAACAAAUGGAUGGUGCUAUGGCUCAUGCCCCAAGUUCUCAUCAUGCACGUGUGCCGGCCUGCCAUGAUGAAAAUGCGGUUGGAGUUGCAAGGUACCGGGUUGAGAUGUUAGUUAUUGAUGUAUCUGACCCGCCGUGUUCGUUACUUUUGAUGGUGAGAUGAACAAGUUGACCAGUGGUUCUGCUGUAGCAGCGUCCAUGAUAACGUCUGAAGAAUAUUCGUUUUUUUUUGCUAAUUCGUUUUUAAGGUACUAUCAUGUGAUGUUGAACAUGGUGUCACUUCUGCAGAAGAUCAAAGAAGCCAUGCUCAAAUAACCUUAAUCCUAGAAAGACCGGAACUGGAACAUAUUAAUGGAAAAGAGUCUUAUUUCUCCUCAUGUAAUUGAUACAGAUUGGUGUGGUAUUUGAGGUUAAAGACUAUUAGUACUUUUCAAUUCCUUAGUUUUGUAAGAAUAUGCCAUAUAGUCUACCUUAAAUUCCACAGAAUACUGAGUAGACAUCAACUCAUUGAGUUUGAGGUAAGAUGUUAAAUCUUUUCUAUCAUCAGCUAAGUCGUUUUUUUGACACAAGACUUUUAUACCAUUGCAUUGAACAGCUCUGUAUUCUUGGAAAUCUCUGUCCUGAAACUGCUGAAGAAGCAGUGGCAAUGGUUCCUUUUCUCAAGGUACAAUAAAGAAAAUUCUAACAUUUUCUAUUUUGUGGAAUAGCUUUUUUGUAAACAAAAGGAAGAGCAUACAGUGAGUAAGCAAUUGAGAAGAUGCUCAGUGAUCUCUCCCUUGUCUAGAGAUUCAAAUAGUGCAAAAAAUCUCGAGAUCUAAGAUUUUAAACAUAUGUCAGGAUGUAAUAUUCUCUUUUUAGCUGAUGCUGUGUGUUUGUAGUUAAAUUAUUAAGAAAGUCUGUGACAGAUUAGGGAUGUGAGCAAUCCAUAUACUAAAUAAUCAUGUACACUGUGUUAUACCAUAUUGAUCCAAUA